rnacentral:ncRNA from 2 species
CCCUUUGAAUUUAAGCAUAUCAAUAAGCGAAGGAAAAGAAACUUACAAGGAUUCUCCUAGUAACGGCGAUCAAAACGGGAAUAGCCCAGCUUGAGAAUCGGGCCCCCAUGGCGUUCGAAUUGUAGUCUGGAGAAGCAUCCUCAGCAGCGGACUAGGCCCAAGUCCACAUGAAGGUGGCACCGGAGAGGGUGAGAGCCCUGUUGUGCCCGGACCCUGUCGCACCACGAAGCGCUGUCGGCGAGUCGGGCUGUUUGGGAAUGUAGCCCCAAUCAGGCGGUAGAUUCUAUCCAAGGCUAAAUACGGGCGAGAGACGAAUAGUAAACAAGUACCAAGAGGGAAAGAUGAAAAGGACUUUGAAAAGAGAGUCAAAGAGUGCUUGAAAUUGUCGGGAGGGAAGCGCAUGGGGGCCUCGAGUCUGUCAGAUGUGGAACGAUUACAAGCUGGUCCGCCGAUCGGCUCGAGGCGUUGACUGAUGCAGAUUGCAGAGGCGGCCAAAGCCUGGGCUAUUGAUAUGCCCCGGAGACGCCGUCGACGCGAUCGUGGUAGGCAGCAAGCGCCGUCUCGGCGUGCCUAGGCAUCUGUGUGCCAUCUCUGUGACUUGAACCUUGGACCCUGAAGUUGAUAAUUAAAACAAAAACCAGACCAUCUAAUGUUAAACAUUUGAAUAUUGUUGCUAGGUUUAUGUACUUGAACACCACUCUCCAUACUAUAUUGCUACUGUAAUACAGCUUUUUGACCAUAAAAAAUGAGUUCGCACAUCAUUUACUGUCUCCUUUGUUCAAAACUGAAGUUUAGUUUACAUGACAUUAAGAAAAUGUACGAAAACCUAUCUGUGCUGUAACAUUG